AGUGAACGCUGGCGGUAGGCCUAACACAUGCAAGUCGAACGGCAGCACAGUAAGAGCUUGCUCUUACGGGUGGCGAGUGGCGGACGGGUGAGGAAUACAUCGGAAUCUACUUUUUCGUGGGGGAUAACGUAGGGAAACUUACGCUAAUACCGCAUACGACCUACGGGUGAAAGCAGGGGAUCUUCGGACCUUGCGCGAUUGAAUGAGCCGAUGUCGGAUUAGCUAGUUGGCGGGGUAAAGGCCCACCAAGGCGACGAUCCGUGGCUGGUCUGAGAGGAUGAUCAGCCACACUGGAACUGAGACACGGUCCAGACUCCUACGGGAGGCAGCAGUGGGGAAUAUUGGACAAUGGGCGCAAGCCUGAUCCAGCCAUACCGCGUGGGUGAAGAAGGCCUUCGGGUUGUAAAGCCCUUUUGUUGGGAAAGAAAAGCAGCAGGUUAAGACCCCGCUGUUCUGACGGUACCCAAAGAAUAAGCACCGGCUAACUUCGU
rnacentral:rRNA from 1 species